rnacentral:tRNA from 1 species
AGGGAUAUAGCUCAGUUUGUAGAGUACUUGCCUUGGAUGCAUGAGUCCCUGGGUUCAAUCCACAGCAACACCC